AGUGAACGCUGGCGGUAGGCCUAACACAUGCAAGUCGAACGGCAGCACAGUAAGAGCUUGCUCUUACGGGUGGCGAGUGGCGGACGGGUGAGGAAUACAUCGGAAUCUACUUUUUCGUGGGGGAUAACGUAGGGAAACUUACGCUAAUAUCGCAUACGACCUACGGGUGAAAGAAGGGGAUCUUCGGAACUUGCGCGAUUGAAUGAGCCGAUGUCGGAUUAGCUAGUUGGCGGGUUAAAGGCCCACCAAGGCGACGAUCGGUAGCUGGUCUGAGAGGAUGAUCAGCCACACUAGAACUGGAACACGGUCCAGACUCCUACGGGAAGCAGCAGUGGGGAAUAUUGGACAAUAGGCGCAAGCCUGAUCCAGCCAUACCGCGUAGGUGAAGAAGGCCUUCGGGUUGUAAAGCCCUUUUGUUGGGAAAGAAAAGCAGCAGGUUAAUACCCCGCUGUUCUGACGGUACCCAAAAAAUAAGCACCGGCUAACUUCGUG
rnacentral:rRNA from 1 species